AGGGACCGUCCAUCCGUCGGGCCUCCGGCCACUGGGGGCGCUCCUGCCACAGACCCCGGCGAGGCCGUGCUGGGCUGAAGGCGGUGGGCGGCUGCGGUGGCGACUGCGGGUUGCCGCGCACGCCGGGGCUGGGCAACUGGGCGUCUCCGUGCCCGGGGUAGUGGGUGGUGAGAGGGAAGGGGGGCCGGACGAUCCGCGAAGGGACCCGGGUCGUGGGGGGCAUCGUCCUCGCAGCCUAGCUGCCGGGGGUUCGCGUCUGAGCGCGGCCGCGGCGCCUCACUGGCCCCCGGGCCGGCUGCGUUCCUCAGCCUUUGCUCCUGCGGCCCCGCUGGACGAUGCGGGUCUUUCCAUCCUGGAGCGCGGUGCCCUGCUUUGAAACCCGGGGCCGGAGCGUCGUAGCUGGCACGCUUUACUCUUUGGAACAUACCCUGGCGUUGUGCUUAAAACCUGUUUCUGUGCAUCAAAAUUACAUGAACAUGUAAACGUUUUAAAAUCAUGGAUUUGGGGGAGCUUAGUGACCGAAGGGGGCAGGCGAGGUUUCUGAUACCUGAUUGUGUUCUCCUGAUUUGGGGUGUUCCCUUUGAGAGGUGUCAUUUCUGUGGGUCUUUUAGAGUCCAUUAAAAUUUUUAUUAAUAACGAGGUGAGAAAAAAGCAGAUGUUCACCAGAUUGCAGUCGAACCUUAGCAAUAUUUAUUUGACUAUUGUGUGCUACAAACGAGGCACACGGGAAGAGAAGAGAUAGCUGCUCGCCCGCCCACCCGCCUGCCCGCCCGCAAGGGGCUGAUGGUGUCGUGGGGAGGGACAGACAAUAAGCCAAGAACACGAUAAAAAGGUGAGCGACUGUGGUCACCGGCUGGGAGAGAGCAGCUGGCAAAGUCCAUACUCUCUCCCAUCUCUGUACUCUCUUCUCUGCCUCUCUCUGCCUAGUCCCUUCCCCCCCGCCCCCAGGGCAGCAACCAGUCUACUCUCUGGUGGGUGUCUCGCCUUGCCAUCCCACCCAGGACCCAUCGCGACAAGGUCAAUAGUACCAGGACGUGCAUUUGUCGGUCAUCUUCACUCGGGCAGGGGUUUGUCUAUUGCAAUAGUUCUCAAAGUGUGGGCCAAGGACACCUGGAGUUUCCUGAGACCCUUCCUCUGAAUUGGGCUGCCAGAACAAAGUACCACAAACCCCCUCUCUGCGCAUGGAAGAGGGACUACACAAGGCUGUUUCCACUCUCAAGCUGGAUUGCCUCUGGAUCUGGAAGGGGGGCUCUCCUCAGGCCACUCAGCAGGGCUCAGUCCUCCCCAGCACCCCCAGGCUGCCUCAGGAGCGGACAAAAGGGGACUUAAAGAACAGAAAUUUAUUGUCUCAAUUCUGGAGGCUAGGAAGUCCGAGAUCAAGGUUUUCAUGUGGUUUGGUUGUUCAGAGGGCCUAAGAGAGACUUCUCUAUUCUACUUUUCUUAGCUUCUGCUGGUUUCCUGGCAGUCUUUGGCAUCCCUUGGCCUGUAGAUCUCUGACUUCGCCUUCAUGUGACUUCUCCCUGUGUGCAUGUCUUUUUAUAAAUAAAUCAGUCAUAUUGGAGCAGG